GACGAACGCUGGCGGCGUGCUUAACACAUGCAAGUCGAACGAUGAAGCUGGAGCUUGCUCCGGUGGAUUAGUGGCGAACGGGUGAGUAACACGUGAGCAAUCUGCCCUUGACUCUGGGAUAACUGCGGGAAACUGUAGCUAAUACCGGAUACUUUCACUGGAAGGCAUCUUCUGGUGAAGAAAGAAUUUCGGUCAAGGAUGAGCUCGCGGCCUAUCAGCUUGUUGGUGAGGUAACGGCUCACCAAGGCGACGACGGGUAGCCGGCCUGAGAGGAUGACGGGCCACGCUGGGACUGAGACACGGCCCAGACUCCUACGGGGGGCAGAAGUGGGGAAUAUUGCACAAUGGGCGCAAGCCUGAUGCAGCAACGCCGCGUGAGGGAUGAAGGCCUUCGGGUUGUAAACCUCUUUUAGCAGGGAAGAAGCGAAAGUGACGGUACCUGCAGAAAAAGCACCGGCUAACUACGUGCCAGCAGCCGCAGUAA
rnacentral:rRNA from 1 species